AUGGAGCUGGACGAGCAGGCGUUCUUGGAGGAGCUCUUCUCGCUGAGGAGGGACGCCACGGCCGCGUGGGAGUGCAAUGCCAUGGGGGACUUCUUCUCCCCGGCCUGCGGCGCCGGCGCCGCAGGCAUGGACUGCUUCCAGGAGCGGCACCAGCCCACCGUCAGCGUGCUGCCCACCUUCACGGCCUCGUUCGAGCAGCCGCACCCGCAGCAGCAUCAGCAUCACCAGCACGCGGCGGUGGCUUCUGGGGGGUUCGACUGCCUCAGCGAGGUCUACGGCGGCGGCCCCUUCCCAAAUGCCGUCGGCGGCGGGUACGGCGAGAUGGGGUUUCUCGCCGCGAUGGACCCCAAGGCGGCGGCGGAUGGGGGCGGCCUCGGCGCCUGCAAGGUGGAGCCCGGGCUGGCGGCCGUGGACGGCGGCGCGUUCGGGUCGGGUCAGAUGGCGGCGUUGGCCCCGGCGCCGGCGUCGAGGAAGAAGCGGGUGGAGGGCAUGCCGUCCAAGAACCUGAUGGCGGAGCGCCGGCGCCGCAAGCGGCUCAACGACCGCCUCUCCAUGCUCCGCUCCGUCGUGCCCAAGAUCAGCAAGAUGGACAGGACGUCGAUCCUGGGGGACACCAUCGACUACAUGAAGGAGCUGCUGGAGAGGAUCCGGCGGCUGCAGGAGGAGAUGGAGGAGGCGCAUCCCGGGCAACCGGCGGCGGCGGCGCCGCUGCUGAGCGUGUUCCGGGAGCUCAACCCCAACGAGAUGCUCGCCAGGAACACCCCCAAGUUCGAGGUGGAGCGCAAGGAGGAGGACACCCGGGUGGAGAUCUACUGCGCCGCCAAGCCGGGGCUGCUGCUGUCCACGGUGAGCACCCUCGACACGCUCGGCCUCGACAUCCAGCAGUGCGUCGUCAGCUGCUUCAACGACUUCGCCAUGCACGCCUCCUGCUCCGAGAUGCAGAGGGAGAUGAUCAGCGCGGACGCCAUCAAGCAGGAGCUGUUCAAGAACGCCGGCUACGGAGGCGGCUGCUUGUAG
rnacentral:rRNA from 1 species